rnacentral:rRNA from 1 species
AGUGAACGCUGGCGGUAGGCCUAACACAUGCAAGUCGAACGGCAGCACAGUAAGAGUUUGCUCUUACGGGUGGCGAGUGGCGGACGGGUGAGGAAUACAUCGGAAUCUACUUUUUCGUGGGGGAUAACGUAGGGAAACUUACGCUAAUACCGCAUACGACCUACGGGUGAAAGCAGGGGAUCUUCGGACCUUGCGCGACUGAAUGAGCCGAUGUCGGAUUAGCUAGUUGGCGGGGUAAAGGCCCACCAAGGCGACGAUCCGUAGCUGGUCUGAGAGGAUGAUCAGCCACACUGGAACUGAGACACGGUCCAGACUCCUACGGGAGGCAGCAGUGGGGAAUAUUGGACAAUGGGCGCAAGCCUGAUCCAGCCAUACCGCGUGGGUGAAGAAGGCCUUCGGGUUGUAAAGCCCUUUUGUUGGGAAAGAAAAGCAGCAGGUUAAUACCCCGCUGUUCUGACGGUACCCAAAGAAUAAGCACCGGCUAACUUCGUG